UAAAAAAAAAAAUUAAAAAAAGAAAAAGAAAAGGUAUGGAGACUAACAGUGGAAAAGGGGUGUGAGAAAAAGAGCAAACACCGUGCCCAGAUUCUAGUAGGGAGAGCCUGGGUAAGCAGAGAGCGUGGCUCUAGGGCAGGAUGGGGCUCAGCUCUGGGGUGUAGGAGGCUUCGCUUGGAUGGGGUGCACACUGUGGUAAGUUUAGAGACCCCUGGGUAGGACUUCAUGGCCAGAAAGGAAAAGGGGCCAUGGUAUAAGAGAGAGAGAGAGCCCUCAGAAAGGCAGUUUGGCCACAUGAAAGAAGGCACUCGGGUACCUCAGAGGCCCCGGGACAGUGACGGAGCGCUCUCCUGGGUGGGAGGUACCCGGAGGGCUCCUGAAGCUGAGGCUUUUCCAACUGGGGCUAGUCAGCACUUAGAAAUUGUGUUUAGAUGUAUGGAAACCAAUUUGACACUAAAUUAUAUUAAAAAAAAAAAAAGAAACUGUGUUUAGAGGGCAAAGGUUAAGAAAGGAGGGGCAUGGUGUAAAGACAACAGCUGACCAGAAAUUGCAGGACACGGCUGGGGAGGGAUUGGUAAAGAAUCAACCCAGAAAUGAUGGGGACCUUCCAGAAAACAUGGCUUUGUCAGCAUCUGUUUCUGUGGUCCAGGAUCAGGCUUUUCCCUUUGGAUCUGCUGAACUCUAAGCCAUCCCCAGUCCAUCAGGGUCACGACCAACACUGAGAAGUUCUGCUGUGAAUAUACUGAACGGUGUCCCACGCAUGUGCCACUGGCUAAGGCUGUGGACGGGGGCGUCAGCAUCGCUUGGCCUGCAGGCACCCCUGAGGCCAAUACUCUUAAGGAUAAUGGAGCUGUGAGCUGGAUGGAGCCUGUGUCCCUGAAGAGAUCAUGAACAGAGCCACUAGACCAGUUGUUGGCCACCUACUUCUGUACUUUCACAGGAGAGAGAAACAACUAUCUGAGGUUACUUUAUUGUAAGAAUACGGUUUCCAAUACACGUGACAUAGAAAAUAGGUGCUAGUCGACGAUUUCUAUCACAGCUUCCUCACUGCAAAAAGGAGAUAGGUCGACCUCUCCCGUGUUGUGCGAUUAAGUGCGAUGAUAUAAAUGGAACGCCUUGCAUGGUGCCUGGCACGUGAAACCGCGUUCCAAGAUCAGGGAGGCAAGUGUCGGAAGGAGAAAACGGCCAGCGUCUCGAGCUCAGAAGAGAACAAGCCCCUGCUAUUUCCUCCACGACGGCAACAGUUGCCCCGGCCGCGACGGAGCCGGCUUCCCCUGCCCUUGGGUACCACGCGACGUCCCGCACCCCCGUCAUCUUUCUGUGGGAUUUCUCUCCACACGCUCCACGGAGGAACCGGGUUCAGGUUACAUCGCAUCUUGUCAAUUCCACCAGACUGGCUGGCGUGCUUUCUUUCCCCGAGGCAAAAACAAAGUCUAGAUGAUGGAAACAGACCCGGAAGAGUCGGCAGGCAGCAAAAGGCAAGGCCUGGGAGGGAUGCUGGCCCAACUGUGCUAGGUUGGUUCCGAGGACUCGCUUCGGGACCCCUGCCUCAAAGAGCAAAGUGUAUUCCGGGAGAAGAAGCAGACAGCUUCCCGCACGUCACUAACCUUACGAAGCACCGCAGGGCAAAGACCGAGGAGACCAAAAUCUCUGGACACCCCAUGUUCUGGCUGGCGGCACACCAUCCGGUUAGCCAAGGACCUUCUUAAGCCAGGCCCCUGAAACUGAGCGUGGAACUUCCAGCAAGCUCUGGCCGAGCCGGGACCUGGCCUGAGGCCUGCAGACCCAGCACAGCCUCACACGUAGUUGAAGACCCGAGGAAUGGAUUCCACCAACAUCCAGACGGGCAGUGAGGGGUGCCAAGAGGAAGCCACACUGCAUCUUUUGGCGAUCAGUAGACCCCGACAGGUCACUCUUCGUUGCAGGUUCAACAGGCAAGUUACAGGCUGAGGAAACGAUGUCUGCGGGCCUGCAACCAUCGGCGAGUUUGAGGACGGCCGGCCUGAGGAAGAGGCCAUCACGGCGAGCGGAGGGGACAGGUGGCGAGAACUGGGGUGUCCGGUGGCUCAGAAUGAGCCCCUCGGUCAGCCAACCUCCAUUCUGCCCCAUCUCCGUUCCUUCGAUAUGUCAAAUAAUUGUGCAAGCCGGUGCAGUUGGGCCUUUUCUCUUACGACAACCAAAAGCGUCUUCCUGAUAAGUGUUCAUCUUCUGGCUGUUGGGAGGUCCCCUUUCUGGGCUUUAUGUAGAGAAUUUGCCCCCUUUCUUGGUUCUACCUUGAAGUGUGGUGGUUAAGGAAGUCUCUGGGUUCACAUUGCCACCUCUGUUUUUAUAGGCUGUGUCCAUUUAGGCAAAUCACUUCAUCUUUUGAGGUCUCAUUUCCUCAUCUGUCAAAUGGGGGCCAUAAUAGUUUGCUGACUCUGGGGACAUGGGGAUUAAAUUAAAUGAGUUCAUGUAAGAAAAGCA